rnacentral:lncRNA from 13 species
AACAAAGCUGACACAUAAAAUUAACAAACAUAAUCUAUACGAGUCUGAAAUCUUCCCAAAAUUCUGCGUGGACUUUUUGACCUUCAAUUCAAGACUACAAAAUUGACUCUUGCCAGAAUUUCCAGGCUGCCACCUAUUGGGGAGAUUUCAGGCUUGCUAGUCCUCGCAAUCACAGGAGCCCACAAAUUGCUUAACUAAGGAAAUCAACCAUUUUGAGAAGAUACUACAACCUUCCACCUGCUACAUUUUCUUAUAUAUUGUCUUCUAUAAAGUUAAACCUCUACUUCUAAAGAUGGAGUUUCACUCUUGCUGCCCGGGCUGGAGAACAAUGGCACAAUCUCCACUCACUGCAAUCUCUGCCUCCUGGGUUCAAGUGGUUUU